GCAGGCAUUCCUGGAGCGUGAUGUCAUCAGCUUGGCAUGGCCCGGUGGCCUGCACUCCAGUGAGGUGGCUGAACUCUGACCAGCCAAGAGAAAACCCCCCUCUCCGCCCCAAACAGCUCCCCACUCCCCCAGCCUGCCCCCACCCUCCCCACAUUCCAGUCUUUCACUGUCGCCCCAGGCAACUUGGCUGCCCAAGACCAAGCCCCACCAAGAAGCUGGAGGGCCAGGCAAGUCCAGGAUGGGCAAGCAGGGAAGCACGAGAGGGAGAAACAGAGAUAUUUUCUGAGCAUCUGUUUUGUGCUUAACACAGCACCACUACCUAAGGAAACCUGGAGAAAGUCGAAGAUAUGGUCCCUGGCAUUCAGAUGCUUAGUUUCUGUUGGGGAGAAAAGACUACACAGGCAAGGUAUGAUCUCUGUUGCAGUGUGUAGGAUGAACGGUCAAAGAUGCCAGUCCACAGGUGCUCAGCAGCAGACUUGAAAAUACUUUCUAGAGAAAGCAGGCUAGGCCCAGAAAUCGUCUCUGGGACUUCAGUUUCCCAUCAGUCAAACGAGCUGUUCAGUUAUAGAAUGAUUUCUCUCCACUGCAGACUUCCAAGGAUGGAGAAAAGGAUCUGGCUUGGCAGAGGGCUCCGUGCAGAGGGGACCAUGUGAGCAUGAUUCCUGUGGGGAGGUGGCUGCUGAGAAUGCAGGGUGUGUUCCAGGAACCAGGGUUGAACAGGAAAGCAGGGAGAGUAGCAGAGCCCCUGAUGCCUCCUAGUCACCUUCUAUCAUGGGAAGAAUACAGAACUGAACUGCUUGCUAUUCCCCAAAAUCCCCCACUAAGAUAUAUACACCUGGCUCUGGGA